CCAGUAAGAUGGCUGCGAAAGGAGGGUGAUCUUGAUUCCAGAAAAAAUGUUAGUCACGCUUUAGAUGAACCAGAGGAAAAGGAGGCACAAGGAGACCCUCGCAUGGGCUGUAGUUUGUGUUGUUUUCCCCGUCAAUCACUGCCGAAGACUAUACAGGGAAUUUGAUUGCAGUGUGUUGUGGAAAUCCCUAUACCCGCCGCCUGAAUAACGUUACCGCAAAUCUGCCAGCUUUGGGGAGUAAGACCCAUGAAGAAGCCUGGUCGUGGAUGAUCGGCAGCACUGUCCCUCAGCUGGAAAAAAACACCGACAUGGAACUUUAAGUGAGACCCUGCAGAGGUAUUCUGUGCUGUGGACCCUGUGGCUGGGCAUGGAGGCCUGCGGACUGCAGACUGGAUGACACGGUCCCCUGGGAGAGCUGAGGAGUGUCUGGCCGGGACACGGACGCCUAGCUGAGCUGACAGCCGCAGACAGAGAGAGAGAGAGAGGGCAAAAGAGAGUGCGCAGGGGCCCCUCCCACCAGAGAAGCACCUUUUCCCCGUCAACAGCCAGUCGGACUCUUUCUUGGUUUCUUCUACUGCGCC